GACUAUCCUGGAUGAAGUACUUGAGGAAAUGAGAAGUGUCCCCUUCUCCCUCAAUAUUGAUGAGGCCACAAGCAAGACAAACAAAAGAGUAUUAGGUGUGCUUGUUAACUACUGGUCAGAUAAACACGAGAGGAUGGUUGUCCAACACCUUGCAGCUUUGGAGCUCAUAUCUGUAAUGGCAGAAUCUCUCUUCCGUGCACUGGAUGGGCUUUUUGAAAGGAUGAAUCUCCCAUGGGAUAAUCUGGUGUCAAUUCUCAUGGACUCCUGUGCUGUUAUGAGGGGCUCUAAAAAUGGCUUGGAAAAGAAGAUCAGAGACCGCCUUGCCCCUCAUCUCCUCGACAUCGAUGGUGACUAAUGUCACCACCUUCAUAAUGCUAGCAAGAAGUUGUGCUGUCCUUUUGAGCGUUGGGUUGAGUCUUUGCUGUCAGACCUGCACACAGACCACAAAUGGUCCGCUGACAUGAAAGAUGGCCUCAGAGAAAUUUGCAGUAUAUUUGGAAUCCAUUUCUCGCGGCCAGAGUGCUAUAUUCCACAUCGGUGGCUCUCAGUCUUGGAUGUCAGUCUGGAAACAUUGCGAAUGUGGGAUGCACUGGUCAUGUUUUACUAUGCAAUGAAGAUAAGUGUACAUACAAGGACAUUGUCAGUGCCAUUCUACAGAAGCGUGAAGUACAGGAAACAGGCAGGGCCCGGAUCAAGGAGUUGUGGAAGGAGUUGGGGAACAGGUCCAAGACCUUCACAAACGAGGGGAAGAUGAGGAAGGUCAGGAUUUGCAAGAAGGUGCUAUUUGAGGACAAGAAAACCCUCCUUGAGCUCCACUUCUAUUUAGCAGUCCUUCCCAUGCUGAAACAUUACGUCCUGCUUUUUUCAGUCCAAGGACCCACAGGUUCAUAAACUCCAUGAUGAGCAGGAGAAACUUGUCACUGAGUUUUUAUCUUGCUUCAUCAAGCCAGAAGAAUUGAUAAACAGCAAAGGAAGGAAUCUGUCCGGGCCAAAGAUGAAGUUGCUUGACCUGACAUCGACAGACGCCCAUCUCGCAGCACCUUUUGUUGGCUCUGAGGCCUCAUCCCUCCUUGACCAACUAGGGAGGGAACACCCCGCUGUGAAGGCUUUCAAAACUAAGGUAAUCAAAGCCUACACCAGCUGUGCAGGUGACCUUCAAACAAAGCUACCUCUUAACAGUACAACCCUAAGGACUCUGUCAUGCUUGGACCCAGAUGCACGGGGAAGCCAUCACAUUCUUCCUCAUCUCCAGAAGUUGCCAAACAUGUUUCCAGCUGUGAAGCUUAAUAAAUUGGAGAGAGCUGGAUUUCAACAUGAAAUACACAGAUAUGCAAGUGACAUGACACUACCUCAGAUGACAGAGGGGGCA